rnacentral:lncRNA from 1 species
UCUUCCGAGGCCCAACAUCCUCUAUGAAGGGUUCCUUCGUGAAUCGUAGCUUCUCCUCGUGACGCGACAUCUUAUGGGCACACCACGUAAAACCCUCAGCAGGACGAAGCCAGGGUUUAUCAAAAACCUGGGUGAAGGGUUUACAUGUGAAGCGGGAUGGUUACUAAAGCCAACUGUAGAGGGUGAGGCGUUUCUUGCCUAGGGACGUCGUCCGCAGGGGAGGCCGCCGUAGAAGAGGAAACGUGUUGGAGCACUCUUCCCGCCCACCUUCCUUUCUUCUAUAGCCGUUGUACCGCCGCGGCCUGCACCGCCACCACCUUCCAGUCGUUAUCAUCCUCCGCCCGUCGCUACCAACCACUGCUCGCCGCCAUUACCUCCCGCCACCGCCAGCCGUCGCCUUCCCGACGCCUGCCAUCGCCGCCGCCUCCUCUUUCCUCUCACG